GCGGGGGUUUCCCAGCCAGGUCAAAGGAGCUAGGUUGAGGUCCUAGUCGUGUAGGCGUUCGUGAGUUCAAAUCUCACCCCCCGCACCA
rnacentral:tRNA from 1 species